AACUACGGCCAUGCCACCCUGAACAUACCCGAUCUCAUCUAAUCUCAGAAGCCAAGGAACAGAUAGUGGGAAAUGUAAGUGUCAGAUGUUCUGGAGUCCCAGGUUCUAGGUA
rnacentral:rRNA from 1 species